UUAUUCUAGAGAAGAACAUCACAUGGAAAAAAUGGGGAGAGUUAUCGCUUCUCCUCAUCCUACAGCUUUGAAGAUCCUGGUUCCUGGCAGCAGAGUUGCCCUGUUCCUACUGUGUCUAUAAUUAUGUUACCACCUGUUCCUACUAUGUGCUGCAAUGAUGUCACCAUUAUAUACUGAAGCAAUUGGAUGGAGAUGAGCCAGGUCUUGCUGUGGAGAUGACAACCCAAGACAGUAUUUGUGGCCACAAUGGUUCAUCUUUCCUUCCCUCUGUGUCCACUGGGAUUGGCCGUGUCCCUGUUCAUUUUUGACCUUACACAAAGGCAAGGCAUGUAGCACCCCAUUUCUGAGGCUGGUGGGUUAUCAUAGCAGAGAGAAAAUA